UACGGGGGGGGCAAGCGUUGUUCGGAAUUACUGGGCGUAAAGGGCUCGUAGGUGGCCAACUAAGUCAGACGUGAAAUCCCUCGGCUUAACCGGGGAACUGCGUCUGAUACUGGAUGGCUUGAGUUUGGGAGAGGGACGCGGAAUUCCAGGUGUAGCGGUGAAAUGCGUAGAUAUCGGAAGGAACACCUGUGGCGAAAGCGGCUCACUGGACCAUUACUGACGCUGAUGUACGAAAGCUAGGGGAGCAAACAGG
rnacentral:rRNA from 1 species